rnacentral:rRNA from 1 species
GACGAACGCUGGCGGCGUGCUUAACACAUGCAAGUCGAACGAUGAAGUUCCUUCGGGAAUGGAUUAGUGGCGAACGGGUGAGGAUCACGUGAGAAACCUGCCUUUCAUUUUGGGAUAACACCGGGAAACCGGUGCUAAUACUGGAUACUCCGUCUUGGCGGCAUCGCCGAGCCGGGAAAGAUUUUUCGAUGAAAGAUGGUCUCGCGGCCUAUCAGCUAGUUGGUGAGGUAACGGCUCACCAAGGCAACGA